rnacentral:rRNA from 1 species
CCCUGCCAUUUGUACACACCGCCCGUCGCACCUACCGAUUGGAUGGUCCGGUGAAGCCUCGGGAUUGUGACCUGUGCCUUUGCUGGUGUUGGUUGCGAGAACUUGUCUAAACCUUAUCAUCUAGAGGAAGGUGAAGUCGUAACAAGGUUUCCG